CAAAAUGAAGCACUGUGUUCUUUCUCAUGGGCUUGAAGGUAGCUCAUCAGAAUUCUGUGUUAAAACUAAAAUCCUUCCCAAUGCUGCAAGGAGGGGUCAUCACUGCUUUCACCAUCUUUUACUGGCUAUUACAGUAAGCGGCCUCUCCUGGGUUCAGUACAAAAAGACCCCUAAGUGGCACCCAAGACAAUUGCACUACAGUAAAAAACAUCACUUGUUUUAGCAGGUAUAAAGUAGCCUUCAGUAUAGCAUUGCUCAGAUAAUGUUUAAAAUAGGAUCGAAAAUGUGUUGGUGCUGAGUGUGAGAUUAAAAAACAAUGACACAGGUUAACAGAAAAAGUGAUAAGAUAAAGACAGACUCCCUCAUGUCCUGUGAGCUAUGUGGCGAUAAAUUGGUAGAAAUAAUUUACUCAAAAUAUACUUUCACAUUUGAAGUAUAUCAAUAUAAAAGUCAAGAAGUGUAAAAAUGGGUGCUUACAGAAAAAUUCAGAGAAAGUCCAUACAAAUCUAUAGUAAUUGAAAAAUAGGAUGUUAGAAAAGGUUGCUAAUCAAAGUAGUAUUGAAUUUGCAAAAAUUGGAAAGUUUCAAACUGUCUGAGCAAAGCUGUAUUAGAGGUAGGUGCUGUGGGAGCUGAACAGGAGGUUGCGGCACAGUGCUGGCAUCGAGAAGAGCUGUGCUUCGCUUGCUGUGGCAUCCUGGAGUAAGGAGACUCAGCAGCAGGCUGAAUAAACUCAACCAGUGACACUGACAUGAAAUGCUGCUCCAGUGCUUUCCCAAGAUACCUUUGAUUCAAAUGUAGGCUCUACUAAGAAUACUGCACCAGGGCCCACCCUUCCUGCCUGUUGACCUCCUGCUCCGGCUGUAUGAAUCAAUCCCAGGUAUUUAUCCAAAGGAAUGAAAUCAGGAUCCCAAAGCGAUGUCUGCAUUCCCGUGUGCUCUGCAGCAUGAUUCACAACAGCCAAGAUAUGGAAACCACCUAAAUGUCUAUCCACAGAUGAACAAAGAAAAUGUGGAAUAUGCUUACAAUGGAAUUUCAUUCAACCUUAAAAAAGAAUGAAAUAAUGCAAUAUGUGAUAGCAUGGAUGAACACUGGGAAACACUGUGCUAAGUGACAUGAGCCAGUCACAGGAGGAUGGAUGUUGCAUGAUUACACCUAUAUGAGUCACUGAAAUAGUCCACUUCAUAGAAUGGAAGAGUGGAAUGGUGGUUGCCAGGGGCUGGGGGGAGGGGGAUAUGAGGAGUUGUUAAUCAAUAGGCAUAAAAAUAAGCAUUUUAGUAAAGCAAGAUGGAUAAGCUCUAGAGAUCUACAUCAUUGUACCUGUAGUCAAAAUACUGGAUUGACUAUACACUUACCAUUUUAAAAGGGUAGAUCUCGUGUUGUGUUCUUACUACAAUAAAAUAAAGUAAAAAUAUAAAAUCCUGAAAUUGA